UAGGGAAUCUUCCACAAUGGACGCAAGUCUGAUGGAGCAACGCCGCGUGAGUGAAGAAGGUUUUCGGACCGUAAAGCUCUGUUGUUGGUGAAGAAGGAUAGAGGUAGUAACUGGCCUUUAUUUGACGGUAAUCAACCAGAAAGUCACGGCUAACUACGUGCCAGCAGCCGCGGUAAUACGUAGGUGGCAAGCGUUGUCCGGAUUUAUUGGGCGUAAAGCGAGCGCAGGCGGAAGAAUAAGUCUGAUGUGAAAGCCCUCGGCUUAACCGAGGAAUUGCAUCGGAAACUGUUUUUCUUGAGUGCAGAAGAGGAGAGUAGAACUCCAUGUGUAGCGGUGGAAUGCGUAGAUAUAUGGAAGAAUACCAGUGGCGAAGGCGGCUCUCUGGUCUGCAACUGACGCUGAGGCUCGAAAGCAUGGGUAGCGAACAGGAUUAGAUACCCUGGUAGUCCAUGCCGUAAACGAUGAGUGCUAAG
rnacentral:rRNA from 1 species